CUCCAUCCGGCUUCCAAUCCGUCCGCCCCGCGGCGCCUGGGCCGAGUGCUGCUCGCUGGCCUGGCCCGCACCUCCCCAAAGUUACCUGCUGGCUUUGCAGCGCGGUAGAGACGUUCCCCUCGACUCCUUGGGAGCGAGGAGCCAGGGGGGUCCCGGCAGGCACUCGUCCUUGCUCCCCCCACCCUCCCCAGAUCUCUAUGGACCCGGGAGUCCCUCGCUGAGCCCCGC
rnacentral:lncRNA from 1 species